GUGCUCGCUUGGUAGCACAUACACUAAAGCUGAACCUAUACAGGGAAGAUUAGCAUUCCCCC
rnacentral:snRNA from 1 species